GGGCAAGAUCCGCUUGAAACGAAGGGCGGUUGUGUCGUUUUAACCAACGCGUCUGAGUUAGAUAUAAACAGGAACUGGUCGUCAAAGGAAGCACCAGUUUACUUUUAAGAAGAAUAGAAAUGGUGUCAACGAGUGGGGUGUUUUGUCUGUUGUUGGUCGCGAUCAUGUGGGGGGGCACAAACCCAUUCCUGAAAUAAGGCACAGAGGGCAUUGAAGGGGUUCUGGCUGAGAUCAAAUUUCUGUUUCUCAAUAUCAAGGUGUGUUUUAUAAUCCUUUUAUGCGCAUAUAACAAGUGCUUAUGAGAAUUUUUGUGUGUCUAAUUAAUUAUAAUUAAUUAAUCUGUUUAUUAUUUAAUAUAGUAUUUGGUCCCAUUCCUGUUGAACCAAAGUGGAUCAUUUGUGUUCUACUUCACUCUUGCUUCUACAGUUGAGAAGUUUCUUUUUCUCCACAAGUUUCUAGGUUUUUCUGUCUGUUCUUAGCAUCAUAGUAUCAUACUACUAUUUCUGCAGUAGGCUAUAUAUGAGGCUGAAGCUGGAUUACCUAAUAAAAAUACAACAUGACAAUUUGAAAUGUCUUUUUUAAUUUAAACUCAGCUUCGUACGGUCAUGAAAAACCUGGAAAAGUCAUGGAAUUUUAAAAUAGCAAUUUCCAGGCUUGGAAAAGUUUUGGAAAUCUAUUUCACAAAACGUAUAAUAGAGUUAUGUCAAUAAAGCCCUAUGCUUCAGCCAAUAACAGACAGGUCUGACUCGGGUGCAAAACCAAUCAAAACUUCCAGUUCAGCUGCGGGGGCGGGGCGUUCAAACGCUUUGCUUUGAGUGUCAAUCAAAGGCGUUGUCGUUUUGAAUCAGCAUCAUUAGCGUUUCAGUAUUUUAGUGAAUGUUAGCUAUGCUCUGAUUUAAAAUAGCAAAUUUGUCAGCUCCUGAAAUGGGUCAUACCGUUGAUAUUACAAGAGCACACAGCAGUAAAUAGAAAACUCGGUUGAUAGAAGGACAGUCAUUGCAUGGAUGGAACGAGAGCAAUGAAAGUGUGUAAAAUACAAGCACACAGUUCAGUUGAAUGAUAAAAUCGCCAUCUUUAACAGUGACGUUAAACUAAAUGUACUACGAAGCUAAAAUAACCUCAACAUUAAAGGGAUAGUUCACACAAAAUGAAAGUUUGAUGUUUAUCUGCUUACCCCCAGGGCAUCCAAGAUGUUACAUUAACAUGUAAAGACACAAAACGAUCGGUCUGUGCAAGGAACUGAACAGUAUUUAUAUAGGUUUUUUUUUUUUUCAACCUCUGAUGCACUGCAAUGCCUGAACUGAGCCCAUCCUCGACACAUCGCAGUCUUAUAAGUGCAUUACCGCCACCUAUCUCUCAAAUGGAUCAUUGACACUAUCUACAAUCUCAAUUGGGAGUGUCAAGCUGUGUUGAGGACGCGCUCAGCACAGUUCAGACAGUUCAGGCAUUGCAGUGUAUCAGAGAUCUGUCUCUGGCUGCUCCCAUGGUGAACUCCCUCACAUUUCUGUUCAUGUUGCUAAUGGGUAAAUUGCUUGGAGAAGAGAUUGAAGGAAAGAGAGCUGUGCUGGGUAUGUUACUCAUCAUGUCUGGAGUGACUGUGUGUGUGCUGAGUUCUGUCUCUGAGACGGACAGCGCAGAAGCCCACAACACCAGUGACCACUAAAUUCCACUGGACUAGGAGGUGAAGGAGGAAUGUGGAUCUGCUCCAGCCAUGUGAUCACACUUCUCACACACAUUCAUCCAACACAAUAUAUGUGCUGCUCCAUUUUCAGUAUAUGCUGUGAAUUUGUGCCAAGAGGAGGUGAUGGAUAACUUUAUAUCUGUACUUGAACCAUGCUGAUGAAAUCCAAAUGUUUUGCACUUUAAUUGCAACUGUGGAAAGAGUCACUUUUAAGUGUGUGGAUUGUGUAACAUACAAAAUACUUGUAUAUAUUGUACUAUUAACUGAUAUUUAUAUGGAUCCGUAUUAAUAAUGUGAAAGUGCCCAGUGUUUAAAUACUUUUAUUUUAAAUGUCUUUUACAUCUAGGUAUUAUUUUUGUUAAACAGAAGAAAUAAAAAAAUAAAAAC